rnacentral:rRNA from 1 species
GAGUUUGAUCUUGGCUCAGGAUGAACGCUGGCGGCGUGCCUAAUACAUGCAAGUCGUACGAACAGCGGAAAGUGCUUGCACUUUCCAAGUAAGUGGCGAACGGGUGAGUAACACGUGAAUAACCUACCUCAAAGUCUGGGGAUAACCAUUGGAAACAGUGACUAAUACCGGAUAAAACCUAGUAGCACAUGCUACAAGGUUAAAAGCUGCGUUUGCAGCGCUUUAAGAUGGAUUCGCGAUGCAUUAGUUAGUUGGUGAGGUAAAGGCUCACCAAGACAAUGAUGCAUAGCCGAGUUGAGAGACUGACCGGCCACAUUGGGACUGAGACACGGCCCAAACUCCUACGGGAGGCUGCAGUAGGGAAUCUUCCACUAAUGGGCGAAAGCCUGAUGGAGCAACGCCGCGUGUGUGAUGAAGGCUUCGGGUCGUAAAGCGACUGUUGUAUGGGAAGUAACGGUUC